UGGGGAAUAUUGCACAAUGGGCGCAAGCCUGAUGCAGCCAUGCCGCGUGUGUGAAGAAGGCCUUCGGGUUGUAAAGCACUUUCAGCGAGGAGGAAGGGUAGUGUGUUAAUAGCACAUUGCAUUGACGUUACUCGCAGAAGAAGCACCGGCUAACUCCGUGCCAGCAGCCGCGGUAAUACGGAGGGUGCAAGCGUUAAUCGGAAUUACUGGGCGUAAAGCGCACGCAGGCGGUUUGUUAAGUAAGAUGUGAAAUCCCCGCGCUUAACGUGGGAACUGCAUUUGAAACUGGCAAGCUAGAGUCUUGUAGAGGGGGGUAGAAUUCCAGGUGUAGCGGUGAAAUGCGUAGAGAUCUGGAGGAAUACCGGUGGCGAAGGCGGCCCCCUGGACAAAGACUGACGCUCAGGUGCGAAAGCGUGGGGAGCAAACA
rnacentral:rRNA from 1 species